CCUACGGGGGGCAGCAGUGAGGAAUAUUGGUCAAUGGACGGAAGUCGGAACCAGCCAUGCCGCGUGCAGGAAGACGGCUCUAUGAGUUGUAAACUGCAUGUGUACAAGGGAAAACCAGAAUACGUGUAUGCAGCUGAAAGGACGGUACGAAGAAGGAGCGGCUAACUCCGUGCCAGCAGCCGCGGUAAUCCGGAGGAUCCAAGCGUUAUCCGGAUUUAUUGGGUUGAAAGGGUGCGUAGGCGGAUUGAUAAGUUAGAGGUGAAAUGUCCGAGCUUAACUCGGGAACUGCCUCUCAUACUGUUGAUCUAGUGCGUAGCUGCGGUAGGCGGAAUGUCUGUUGUAGCG
rnacentral:rRNA from 1 species